AUUAGCUCAGUUGGUCAGAGCAUGGCGCUAAUAACACCAAGGUUGUGUGUUCGAUCCUCAUAU
rnacentral:tRNA from 1 species